GGUGAGGUGGCUGAGUGGUUUAAAGUGAUGGAGUGUUAUUCCAUUGUGCUUGUGCAUGCAUGGGUUUGAAUCCCAUCCUUGCUG